rnacentral:rRNA from 1 species
AAUACGUUCCCGGGCCUUGUACACACCGCCCGUCACACCACGGAAGCGAGUAACACCCGAAGCCGGUGGCCUAACCCUUUGGGAGGGAGCCGUCGAAGGUGGGACCCGUGACUGGGGUG